CCUUCUCCCAUUUCCUUUCACGAGACACCACAGCUAAACUUCUGCUCCCCUUUCACGAUCGUCGUUUCUUUUUAGAUUCCACUCUCCGAAACCCUCAAUUUCUUUGUGUCUUUGAUGGCCCUCUCAAGAUUCGUAUCAAUGUCCUCUAGAACCCUUUUUUUCAGCUUAGAUCGUUGCGGAAGCUAGAAUUUAAUUUGUUCAGGUGAAGGAGUUUCUUUCGAAUUUUGCAGACGCCAAUGGCGAACAAGGAUGUGAGGAACUUCGCAGGCAGGACUGCGUACGACGUGGCGUCGAAGAACAAGCAUGCGAGGUUGAGUGCGCUGACGAGGAGGGGAAAGGUGAGGAGCAUCCAACGGCUGAUUGAGGACGAGCGAUGGUAUAUAGAAGGGACCAACAAGGUUUGGAAAGCCCAGGAAAAAAGAGACAUCAAAAUGAAAGAGGUAUCGAGCAAAGUACAGAAUGUCUGAUUUGCCUAGAGUCGGUGGUAAGAAGGACUAUCUUAUUUUUGCAAUUUAUUUAUCCUUGAAUUGUAUGCAUAAUCCUUUUAAGUUGAUGAUUUGUAUCAUUAUGCAGGAUUAUUCCAAAGUGAGGUGUGAAUACACUUGCUUUGAGUAUAUUUAUACCUUUGUAUAUUUACAUGUGGAGUAGAAUGAAUGGGUCUGAUAUAUCAAAGUUAUUCCAUCUACAUCCAUUGAUAUGAUUCGAUGGUUAUUUUCCAUCUGCUGCUAGUUGAGUCUGAUUGGAUAGUCUCCGGUACCUAUAAUCUAAUUCCCAAGUUAUUUUCUAGGGCAAAUGUUUUGUUUUUGUAUUGUAGUCUGGGUCAUGUUUUUGGGCUUCUCUUAAUGGCAGGGUUGUCUCGUAAGCAUUUUGUUUGCCCUAUUUGGAGUGAACUCUAAGAAAACCCUAUGCAAGCAAUACUGAUUAUUAGAUAUUCAACAGAAAAAUCAUUAGUUAUCAGUAGUUAAUUGGUUUUGAUCUCACCGUUUAAAAAUCAUAAAAGGUUUAUGUUGGGGUCUUGUGUGUGGAGAAUAUUAGUCAUGAAAAUGCAGGAUUGUGUAGUAAAAAUAGUUAUAAACAUAAUUGGUAAGAAAAGAGUUAGAGUAGCACGUACAGGUAAGUCUCGAGGUUGGAGAUUGGUAUCCGAAAUUGGAGAUAUUAAAAAACUGAACAUAAGAUAUAUUUAAUUAAAAUCUAAACAAUGAGGUUGGAGAUUGGUAUCCGGAAUUGGGGAUAUUAAAAAAUUGAACAUAAGAUAUAUUUAAUUAAAAUCUAAACAAAAGUAGUUUUAGUUCAACUAUUUUUUUAUUUGAUUGAGUCAUUUUUUAGAUGAGUUUUAAAUGUAGGUUUUAUAUGAGAUGAUAGUGAAGCAUUGUUGAAUCACUACAAAAAUUAUUUGCUUGAAUUCUUCUUGUAUAGGAAGAUUUGUCUGUCCUGCACCUCGUGCUCUUGUUCUUGGAAUGAUCCAAUUGAUUAAGUAUAGGUAAGUUUUAAGUGUUUUGAAUAUAUAGUUUAAGCGCUUCACUAAUUCUUUGAUGUAAAGAUAACUAACACUUUAUUAAGUUUGCAAUGCUAUUUAGUACAAUUGUUCAGGGUGGUAUUUCUUAUUUAAAAAUUGUUAAAGCUUUCUAACACUUUAUCACAUUGUUCAAUCUAUGAAAUGGUAACUACAAUAUUAUUUGCUCUUUUAACUUUAACCAUAAUGUUCAAAAUAAAUUGAACGAAACAUACACAUAAUUAUACAUUUCUGAUGUUACUAUAAUGUUUAUUUGCAGGUGCCAAGUACAUAAACAAUAUUAAAGAUACUAUCAUUAACAUCAAUCAACAAACAUGGGGAGAAAUACUCAAAAUGAUGAUGUUUAUUUUUGUUUUAAUAAUUGCUAGGGAUUAGCUAGGAAAAAAAUUGCUAGGGAUCAGCUAGAGAUUAGCUAGGGAAAAAAUUGCUAGGGAUCAGCUAGGGAUUAGCUAGGGAUAUCAGCGAGGGAAUCAUUCUCUCACUAUUUAGCUACAUAUAAUUUAGCUACGGAUAAAUCCCUAGUUAAUCCCUCGCUAAAUCAUUGUGAGGGAUUAGCGAGGGAUUAGCUAGAGAUUAUACCGUUGCAAAUACAUUGUUUUCUUGUAGUGUGUCAAAUGUAUGAUUGGUCCUGCCACAAUGAGUACAUAGUUUGUUGGAGAAGACUCUACCUCUUCCAGUAUUGUUACGACCUCUGCCUCUAUUUCCACGACCUUUGCCAUUUUCGGUGUAUUGGUUUGGGUUCACAAGAAGACCCCUUCCAGAACCAAUGUGUUGAUCAGUUUUGACAACAAAAAUUUUUGUAUCAGAUGGAGGUUCAAUCAUUCUUGUAUUAGACAUAUGCCUUUCUUGUUGAGCAACCAUAGAGAAAGUCUUGUUUAUUGGAGGAAGAGGGUCCAGGAGCAUGAUCUGGGACCUAACAUGUGAAAAUUGUUUGUUUAACCCUUUGAGGAAACGAAUGACAUAGUCUUGAUCUCUGUAUUUCUUAUACGCUUGGGUUGCUUCGCAUGUGCAGGGUAUUGAACACUUCCAAAUGAGAAUCGAUCUAUAAUUGUCAAACUCAUCCCAUAGACUUUUCAGUUGAGUGAAAUAUUGACUAACAUUGAGGGUGCCUUGCUGCAAUCGAAAAAUUUCUUCUUGAAGGUCAAAAACCCUAAAUAUAUCAGCUUGAGAAAAGUGAUCAUGAAGAUCCUGCCAAACCUCCAAGUACUAGCUCAAUUGGUUGAGAGUACUUAAUUAUGUGAUAGGACUUGUGUUCAAGUUCUAUGUAUGCCAAUUAUGUGCUAUUUAAUUUAUAAUUAUUUUAAUAAUGUGCUAGAUCAUGAUGAGUGAUAACAUAAUUAUAGAAUUAUAUGAAUUAUCAUGAAACAUGAAUUUGUCGAAUGGUUAUGCAUUAAUUUGACAUUGGUAUGAUUAUGGGUUCGAAUCUUGGUAGACCCACAUUAAACUUUCUUUUUGGUAGAAUUAUGUUGUCAUGAAUAUGAAAAGCCAUAAAACCCUAGCAUCCAAGGGAGGGCUAAAAAACCAUGAUAAGACAAACAUUGAAUGACCAUUAAGCUAAGUUAAAUGCCAAUUUUCGUUUUAGAACAUUAAAAUAUCGUUAAGGCACCAUUAAAAGACAAAUUUUGGGUGAGAAGAAGGGUUUUUAUGCUUGUCAUUGUGUCAUAGUUAGAGGAAUCCAAGUUAGGGGAGCUUUACGCGUUAAUUUUAUUUUAAGUUUGAUUGGCAUGCUAAAUAGAGUAACCUUACGCGUUAGUUUCAUGUUUAAAUCUGAUUGGCAUGCUAAAUAGAGUAAUUUUACGCGUUAAUUUUAUUUUAAGUCUUAUUGACAUGCUAAAUAGAGUAACUCUACGUGUUAAUUUGAUUUGAAGUUUGAAAUGCUAAAUAGAGUAACUUCAUGCGUUAAUUUUACAAUUAAGUCUGAUUGGCAUGCUAAAUUUAGUAUGAUUAUGCUUAAGAUUUUAUUCCAUUAAGUUAGUAUUUUUGGAAAUUUCCAGAAACUAUCUUGUCGGUGAUGAUUUGUCGACAGACGACUCUUUCCUUUUUAUGCUAACAACGAGUGCAGUGGUGGACAACAACGAGCAUGGCUAGUUUGACGUUGAGCAUGGCUGCGAGUGGUGUGCAAACUGUUGCAGAUGAGGGCAGGCGCGAACUGUUCCAACGAGCUCGGGUGGUGCAGCCCUGGUGGUUUUCUGGUAGUGUGAUAAAUUAAAGGAGAAGGUGGCGCGAAGAGGAAGCCAUGGAGUUUCGUUUUGGGCUGCUACAGACGGUGGAGAUGAUGGCACGACGGAAAGGGGGCUGUUCCGGUGUGUUGCAGGUGCGAAGGAGUAAGUCGACGGUGGUGUGGUGACGACCGGCGUAGGGGCGGCGACUGCGGCAUGGAGAUGGUGGGAGAGAAGGAAAAUUAAGGUUAGGGUUUUGGUUGUGUGAAAGAGAGAGGGUGAUGAGGUGUCAUUCUAUGAUUGGGUAUUUUAGUGAGUGGAGGAUUGAGGACGUGACAAACUUUAAUUGGUUAUUUUAGUAAGUGGAGGAAUGCCACAUGGCAUAAUCUGGUUGAGUGGAGGUUAAGUGAUAUUAGGGGUGCAAAUUAGUAAAAAGAAGGGGUGUAGAAUAGAGUCAGAAGACCCAAUUCCAGGAGGGGUGUGGAAAAUAAAAACUGGAGGUGCAUUUAGCUCAAGAAAUAUUCCUUUUCAGAAUUAAAUGGCUAAUUCUAGAAGAAGGGUGUGAAAAGGAAAAUUGGAGGUGCAAAUAGCUUCAGAAAUAUCCCUUUUCAGAAAUUAUGACCCAAUUGCAGAAUGGGGUGUAAAAUAUGAAAACUGGAGGUGCAUUUAGCUCCAGAAAUAUUCCCUUUCAGAAAUAGAUAGUCCAAUUGCAGAAGGGUGUGUGAAAAUGAAAACUGGGAGUGCAUUUAGCACUUGAACUAUUCCUUUCCAAAAUUCUGAUUUUGGGACCUAUUUGAUGACUUGAAAUAUUCCUAAUUCACACUCUUAAGGACCUAAAUUAAAUGACAGUUGCAUUAUUAAACUCAAGAAUAUCCAAUAAUAUAGUAUGCAACUAAAUAUAAUUCUUAAGAGUAAAAAUGAUAUUAAAUCCCCAAAAUUUAACCACUUAAUGAGAGCAAAUGUUCGACCCAUCAUACCCGCCAGACGGUCUGGAAAUGGGCAGCGUUUGGUGGUAUGUGUCCCCCGCCAGGCGAUUUUACUGCAGCAGUAUUGGUGUUCUUACUCUUGACGUGCGUGAUCUACAAAGCUUUAGUGAUGCCUUGAAGGUCGGCUUGCUGGUGUUCCAUGAGUUGUGGCUCAGAACGUAU